rnacentral:rRNA from 1 species
GACGAACGCUGGCGGCGUGCUUAACACAUGCAAGUCGAACGGAAAGGCCCUGCUUUUGUGGGGUGCUCGAGUGGCGAACGGGUGAGUAACACGUGAGUAACCUGCCCUUGACUUUGGGAUAACUUCAGGAAACUGGGGCUCAUACCGGAUAGGAGCUCCUGCUGCAUGGUGGGGGUUGGAAAGUUUCGGCGGUUGGGGAUGGACUCGCGGCUUAUCAGCUUGUUGGUUGGGUAGUGGCUUACCAAGGCUUUGACGGGUAGCCGGGCUGAGAGGGUGACCGGACACAUUGGGACUGAGAUACGGCCCAGACUCCUACGGGAGGCAGCAGUGGGGAAGAUUGCACAAUGGGCGGAAGCCUGAUGCAGCAACGCCGCGUGCGGGAUGACGGCCUGCGGGUUGUAAACCGCUUUCGCCUGUGACGAAGCGUGAGUGACGGUAAUGGGUAAAGAAGCACCGGCUAACUACGUG